GGGAUAUGGUGGAUACGAAACGAAAUUGUGCAUCGGUGAGUGUGUCGUCGGUGGCUGCCGUGUCGAACCAAUGGGCAUAGUAAGCCGCGGAGCGGCUGGAGAACGGUUGCCCGAGGUCGUGCCGUCCAGCUCUGGCCUGGGACGUAUCGUAUCGCCCGCCGAUACUGUUACCGUUUGGAGCAAAUUCUCCUUCGACGUAGUACGGCGCUUGUAAAGGUUCGAAUCUUCCAGGGGCUUUAGUUUAAGUGCACUCAUAGCGCCUUUGCUGCGCUCGUUUGCGCUACACUUAUCACACACGCUCGCUGUAGCUGCGAAAUAUGAACGCAGCCAAGCUUCUUUCAAGCUGACGAAGCUAAAAACGGGAAAGUACACCGUUUGCUCGCUGGUAGCAGAGGCACACGAGACGAGCUACUUCUGUGGACAGGUUCCGGUAAGGUACUGACGUUUGACGCCACCCUUACAAGGCGGCGGAUCUUUCCUUUCUUCGGCUGUGCCUUCUGCUAGGAUUAAUAAUAUCGUGAUAAACGUAUCGUAUCACGUAAUGGAACACACAAAACGUCAGCCUCGCUCAGCAGUACUGUAACACCGCCCUUCGAACGUGGAUGUGACCAGGUGCUUAUCCUGCAAAGCAACGCCAACUACGACUGAAACCGGACACGACGUACUCUGCUGCAGCGCUUUGCAAUCACGAAAAACGAUGGUCCACUUCGCCAAUAAGGAUUUACGCGACGAUAGCCAGUUUUCCUGGUUCCGUUCGGGUUUCAUAAAACGACAACGUGUGUAGCGUACGAACGCAGCAGAAAAAAAGAAAGUACGACGGUGGGCACCGAUUUACGCCUUUUAAGGAGAAAACAAGCCGCAGCAUCGUCGUCAUCAGUGUGUGGCGUCUUCGUACGUCGGUCCAGCAAGCAGGACUUGUUUUGCUUGAACCCCUUUCGAAGAGCAUGAUCGCUCGCAUCGCAUCUUCGUAGGGGCUAUUCGUUUGUGAGUGUUCCGUGUUCCGCUUAAAUUCGGUCCAGUGACUACUAGCUAAUUUCAUUGCAAUGCUGCAUUACUUCGAGGCGAGCAUACAUAAUCGUGUGAGUUGCUGUUUAGGCGUGCUCAUCGAGCGGAUGUUCGGUUAGCUUGCGCAAGUCCACUGCGACGAUUGGUCGUCUUGCAAGAUAGGGCUGGUGGUGGUCGCAUAAGCGCGGUAACCCAUCCACCAUCUGCCAUCUGGUCACAAUUGAACUCAUGUUACACGGUUGUACUUUGUUAGUUUCGGUCAUCAAUUGUUUGAUGUUGCACCACAACCAUCGAUCUUAAGAACGAUCUAAGCACGCAAACGCUUACCCUGCUACUGGAGCCAUGUUCUAAAUGUGAGAAUACAACGAAUCUUCUCCCUUGUAGAUCGUUUUCCGUAUAAGGAAGCGCACUUUUUGACUGUGAUCCAACGGGGUGAAAAAUGAAAAGCUACAAAAAAGUGGUAACAAGUUGCACAGAGCACAAAUAGGUAGUAUCAAAUUAACAGUAUUCACCGAAUAACACUUGAAAUAGCAAGCAUCUCGUUGUCGAAGAAACCACUAGCACCAAAUCGCGAAAACCUUGGAACGGGAGGAUGUAGGUAGGCGGGCACACUCAUAUUCUUGGCCCACAUCUCACUGCACGAUCGCCGAACUGAACCGUACACCUACCCCGAUGAGCUCAUAAUCGUCAUAUUUAUACACACCUCUUUCGGCACCUGGAUGGGUUUGUUGUUUAUCCAACGAAACGCCACCCGUUCCACCCAAUCAAGCAGCAGCUGCAGUAUCGAUAAGGCACUCGGUAUCGGUUUAUAGUUGAGGAAAUAAGGCACUAUUUGCAGUAAAAGUUAAAUAAACAAUACAAAAAAACA